CCGAGAGAGAGCCUGAGAAACGGCUACCACAUCCAAGGAAGGCAGCASGCGCSUAAAUUACCCAAUCCUGAUACASGGAGGUWGUGACAAUAAAUAACAAUGCCGGGCCAUCAUUGGUCUGGCAAUUGGAAUGACAACAAUUYAAAUCCCUUAUCGAGGAUCAAUUGGAGGGCAAGUCUGGUGCCAGCAGCCGCGGYAAUUCCAGCUCCAAUAGCGYAUAUUAAAGU
rnacentral:rRNA from 1 species